rnacentral:rRNA from 1 species
CUACGGGCUGCUGCAGUGGGGAAUAUUGCACAAUGGGCGCAAGCCUGAUGCAGCCAUGCCGCGUGUAUGAAGAAGGCCUUCGGGUUGUAAAGUACUUUCAGCGGGGAGGAAGGGAGUAAAGUUAAUACCUUUGCUCAUUGACGUUACCCGCAGAAGAAGCACCGGCUAACUCCGUGCCAGCAGCCGCGGUAAUACGGAGGGUGCAAGCGUUAAUCGGAAUUACUGGGCGUAAAGCGCACGCAGGCGGUUUGUUAAGUCAGAUGUGAAAUCCCCGGGCUCAACCUGGGAACUGCAUCUGAUACCGGCAAGCUUGAGUCUCGUAGAGGGGGGUAGAAUUCCAGGUGUAGCGGUGAAAUGCGUAGAGAUCUGGAGGAAUACCGGUGGCGAAGGCGGCCCCCUGGACGAAGACUGACGCUCAGGUGCGAAAGCGUGGGGAGCAAACAGGAUUAGAUACUCCCGUAGUC